rnacentral:lncRNA from 1 species
UUAAACUAAAAAAUUACACAAAUUAAGCAAAAGCAAAAAUUAAAAAUAAUUACGCAAUUAACUAAAUAACAUGAAUUAAACAAGUUAUACAGUUAACUUAAAAUAAAUAAAAUCAUUAAUAAAAUAAAAUCAAUUAACAAAUUAGACAAUAAAAAUAUUUAGAACACCUCGUCACUUCCAAAUCAUCGGCAGACGCACAGAACCAAACCUUCACCAUCAUCGCAGGCACCUCCAUCUUCACCAAGAGCUAGCUUACAACUGCCUAAACACAAAUGAAGCUGCACUAAGAUAAUCAAGCUACACCAAGCUUGCAUGCCAAAUAAUUUUUCCCAAAAUUCGAAACCUCAUAGUCUCCAUCUCGCUUUACUAGGAGGAACUGAGGAACGGCGAUUGCAACCAUCGACGAUAAAGAACUCCUAGAAUUUUUGAAAUCCACCUAUCAUCCCCCUCGGUAAGCUCAUUCGCUCUCUGUAUGGAUUUGUGAGCAUGUAGUUCUUUUAGAAUUUCCCAUCUUUUUUAAAUUACAGUAGAAAAUUAGAUUGGCGUUCUUCUCCUUCUUUCCUUUCGUUUUUGUUUAAUGACUGCAGAUGUAAAAUACGAUUUGAGAUGAGAGAUGUGAUUACACGCGCGGUUCAUAGGAUUUCAAUGGUGCGGCAAUGGUGGGUUUUUAUGGCGUAACGUUGGUGAAGAGAUGUGAUUACGGCAACAUGCUCACCCCUAAUCAUCAUGAUUAAGUGUCAUCUAAUGAAUACAUGACGUGGCAAUGUUAAUUCAACGUUACUUAAAAAAAAUUAAGAGUUCAACUAUUUAAUUAAAAAAAUUAAAAAGAUGAUCACCAA